rnacentral:rRNA from 1 species
CCUACGGGGGGCAGCAGUGGGGGAUAUUGCACAAUGGGGGGAACCCUGAUGCAGCGACGCCGCGUGGGUGAAGAAGCGCCUCGGCGCGUAAAGCCCUGUCAGCAGGGGAGAAAAUGACGGUACCUGAAGAAGAAGCCCCGGCUAACGACGUGCCAGCAGCCGCGGUUAUACGGAGGGGGCAAGCGUUAUCCGGAUUUACUGGGUGUAAAGCGGGCGCAGGCGGCGAUGCAAGGCAGGAGUGAAAGCCCGGGGACCAACCCCGGGAGUGCGCUUGGAACUGCGUGGCUGGAGUGCAGGAGAGGCAGGCGGAAUGCGUGGUGUAGCGGUGAAAUGCGUAGAUAUCAGGAGGAACACCGGUGGCGAAGGCGGCCUGCUGGACUGCAACUGACGUUGAGGCCCGAAAGCGUGGGGAGCAAACAGGAUUAGAUACCCGGGUAGUC